GGGCCCAUAGCUCAGUUAGGUAGAGCGUCUGGCUUUUAACCAGAUGGUCGGGGGUUCAAAUCCCUCUAGGCCCG
rfam:Methanofollis liminatans DSM 4140 chromosome, whole genome shotgun sequence.